GGGAAGGGGGGGCAGGCCUAACACAUGCAAGUCGAGCGGAUGACGGGAGCUUGCUCCUUGAUUCAGCGGCGGACGGGUGAGUAAUGCCUAGGAAUCUGCCUGGUAGUGGGGGACAACGUUUCGAAAGGAACGCUAAUACCGCAUACGUCCUACGGGAGAAAGCAGGGGACCUUCGGGCCUUGCGCUAUCAGAUGAGCCUAGGUCGGAUUAGCUAGUUGGUGAGGUAAUGGCUCACCAAGGCGACGAUCCGUAACUGGUCUGAGAGGAUGAUCAGUCACACUGGAACUGAGACACGGUCCAGACUCCUACGGGAGGCAGCAGUGGGGAAUAUUGGACAAUGGGCGAAAGCCUGAUCCAGCCAUGCCGCGUGUGUGAAGAAGGUCUUCGGAUUGUAAAGCACUUUAAGUUGGGAGGAAGGGCAUUAACCUAAUACGUUAGUGUUUUGACGUUACCGACAGAAUAAGCACCGGCUAACUCUGUGCCAGCAGCCGCGGUAAUACAGAGGGUGCAAGCGUUAAUCGGAAUUACUGGGCGUAAAGCGCGCGUAGGUGGUUUGUUAAGUUGGAUGUGAAAGCCCCGGGCUCAACCUGGGAACUGCAUCCAAAACUGGCAAGCUAGAGUACGGUAGAGGGUGGUGGAAUUUCCUGUGUAGCGGUGAAAUGCGUAGAUAUAGGAAGGAACACCAGUGGCGAAGGCGACCACCUGGACUGAUACUGACACU
rnacentral:rRNA from 1 species